AGCAGAUGGACAAGCUCAGAAUGAAGAAUCAAAGCCUCAUUUGUAAAGUUCAAGAACAAGUGGAGAAGGCGGAACUCCUGAGAGAAAAUAAUCUUAAAGAACAGAAAAUGGUAAUUUCAAAGUUGUCAGAAACAGAAGAAUCAAAUGAAGAACGAAAAGCCUAAGUUUUAACAUCUUGAAAUAAUUGAAGAAAAAGAGGUGUUCUGCAAAGAUUUCAAAGAAAGACUGAGCAGGGGAGUCUGUGGAAUCGCAGAGUCUUUGAUUCUUUCUCCAGCCUGGAGAGAGGAUGGUCCAGCCAGCAACAUUUGAAGAAACCAGGUGAGUUCCAGGCACCACAUCCAUUCCUGUCCAAAGCUGCUACAUGGCUUAAGAAGAGAGACAACCAUGUGACAAAAAAGCAGCAUCAAUCAUAUACUCAAUAGAGGAAAAACCCAGAUUUGCCAAAACUCAAGCAUUUCGUAAUCCAACUCCACACCAUCAACCUGCUGCAGCAUAAUAAAACUGACCAGUGUUUGCAUCUGUUUCACAACACACGUAGCCUCGGCGCCAUCUUCGAACAUCAACAUUGCAGUUCAAUAGCAGAAAGAUCCAUCCUUGAAGUGAUGAAGAUAAUCUAAGGAUUUAAAAGCAUAAAUAUCAGGAUUUAUUCUAUUUUAAGGUCAGAAGGGUAGAACAGAGUAACUACAACGUUUACAUGUAAUAAUUGAAAGUUGUAGAUGGGACAAAUGAAGGGAUCUGCGAUAGCGUGAAAGUCCUUUUCAUCUAUUGUUCAUCCUUGGCUAAACAGCAGUGGGAGUCAAGAUGUCACAGCUUCUCUACUGUUAAGUCACCUGCCUGGGGAAAAAGGGUGAGACACACACACCUUUAAUGUUUACAAAAGAAAGUUACCUUCAUUAAUGAAACCAUCCUCAUUUUCAGUCAGUCCAAUUUCCAGUGGAAAUUGUGGAAAUGUCUUCUGGACUUUAGUAAGUUGAAAGAGAAAACAAAGAAGCCCAUCGUAUUGUUGCCAAAGUGUCUGGCAGAAUCAUUCUCCAUCUUCCCUUGGACCCAUCAAUGCAAGUAUUAGCAGCGAGACAUCCCAUCCAGGGAUUCCCUAGUCCACCAUCAAACAGAACGAAAGGAAAAAGAACACUCUGCUCUUUUCUCCCUAGAGAGGUUUUAUGGUGUUGGGGCCUCAAACACAGUGGGGGACCCAAAGUUUCCAAUUUUGUUUUUCUUUUGGUCAAGAUUCAUGUGCAAUUUUAGGGUAUGUUCAUUAGGGCUUUAAAACCACCCUCCCUCUAUGGCUACUCCCAGCUUCUUAAAUCCCAGGCACUUUGGAGGGAGGAUGCUUUGGGAUGGCAUUUCAAGCAAAGGACCCUAUAAAUACUUUUGGUCUCUUAUUUGCAAUUCUGGCCAUGGAGCAUUACAAUUAAAGUGACCUCUUCAAGAAGAGGUCCUUGCAUGAAGAGAAACCGCUCUUGUGACAAGCCAAAUUCCCAGAUACCUGAUAUCUGUCCUAAGAGCAAUCCCCCACUUAGACUAUUCCCAUAUAUUGGAACAUUUCACUGGAGUUCUAACACUGGAUUCAUUGAAUGUUUAUAGGCCCAAUUUUCCUGCAAGCUCCCCUAUGUACUUCGAUGCCCUUACUUUGAAAAUAAAAAUUAAAUGCUCUGUUGUUACUGAUUGCUGAAGAAGACCUCAGAGCAUGAGGCCAAAGGCAGCCUCUAGCAAUUUCUUCUCUCCCCAAAACAAAAAACAGAGGUGAUGACUUGUGGAACUUUUCCCCAGCCAUUCCAAUACCAGAAAGGAAGUCUCAGAAAUGUUGCUGAAGUUGAAAUCUCUGAAACAUUCUCCUCUCCAAUUUUCAUGGAGGACAACCACAUGAACCCUAAGAUGUCCAGUAGACGAGAUUCAACAUGUGGGUCCUUGGCUGGUGGAACUUUCCUGAGAGAUCA